rnacentral:lncRNA from 1 species
CCAAGGGUUCAGCUUCUCUCAUUUGGUGAAGUAAUCAAUGGUAACAAUUAUAAAUUUUCUCUGACCAGACAGCGGAGAAAAGAGAUCAAGUAUGUCGAUUCUCUAUUGCACGAAGGGCCAUGAUAUAAUAAUUAAUAUCAGCUGGCUGGUCGGUUGAUGUUGUAUGUUGGCAUACGUCUGAUAUGGUUCACAUUUUCGGACAAGUUCAGCUGCAUCUUUUUUCAUAGUGGGCCAAUAAUAUCUUUGUCGCAAGAUUUUAUAAGCCAAUAAUUUAUCCUCCAAGUGAUUUUCAUAAAUUUCUUCAUGAACUUCUCGGAGUGCAUAGUCAGCAUCUGUAGAUCUCAGACACUUCAGUAAGGGAAGAGAGAAUGAUCUCUUAUAGAGUUGUCCAUUCAUCAAAAUAUAUUAUAAGGCUAUCCAUCUUAGUCAUUUGGCCUCUGAAAGAUCUGCAGGUAGAGUUUCAUCAGUCAAAUAUUGGAUGAUUGGGUCCAUCCAACUUGGUUUGUCAUUGAUUUGUAACACUUUCUCAACUUUGUCGAUACUCAAUUGUUCAAGAUAUUCAAUGAACGUUCGAUCGAAUAAGCUGAAUGAAGUAGUUGCGAGUCGAGAAAGUACAUCAGCUC